GUUAAUAGAAGCUAUUUUAGUGUCCCACUGUUGAUGGGAAGAAGGUAUUUCCCUAUUAAAAAG
rnacentral:tRNA from 1 species